GACGAACGCUGGCGGCGUGCUUAACACAUGCAAGUCGAACGGUGAAGCGCCUUCCUUUUUGGUGGGUGUGGAUGAGUGGCGAACGGGUGAGCAACACGUGAGCAACCUGCCCCCUUCUGCUGGAUAACCGCAUGAAAGUGUGGCUAACACGGGAUAUUUUGGGUCUGUCGCAUGAUGGGUCUGGGACAGUCUUUGUGUCGGUGGGGGAUGGGCUCGCGGGGUAUUAGCUAGUUGGUGGGGUGAUGGCCUACCAAGGCGGGGACGGGUAGCCGGCCUGAGAGGGUGGACAGACUGGAUGGGAGUGAGGCACGGCCCAGCUACGUACGGGAGCAGUCGGGAGGGAAUAUUGCUGGGUGGACGCAAGACUGAUGCAGGGCGGGCGAGUGAGGAAUGGCGGCCUUCGGGUUGAGACUCUCUUUAGCGAGUGAAGCAGGCCUGCGUCGUUUGUGGUGGGUUGACGGUAGCUGGAUAAGAAGCGCCGGCUAACUACGUG
rnacentral:rRNA from 1 species